rnacentral:rRNA from 1 species
UACGUAGGAGACGAGCGUUGUCCGGAGUUACUGGGCGUAAAGGGUGCGCAGGUGGCGGCGCGCGUGGGGGGUGAAAUCGCCCGGCUUAACUGGGCGGGGCCUUCCAGACGGCGUGGCUUGAGCAGCGGAGGGGACGUGGAAUUCCGGGUGGAGCGGUGAAAUGCGUAGAGAUCGGGAGGAACACCAGUGGCGAAGGCGGCCAUCUGGACAACACUGACGCUGAGGCACGAAAGCGUGGGGAGCAAACAGGGAAGUUAA